UUUAAACCAUUAUCUGAUGUGUAUAUUAUUAACAGUAUUUUUUUUUCUCUAUCUCAUCUUUCUUCUUCAUCCCAAAGGUGAAGUGGUACUGAAGAAGCAAAAGAGUUCAGAAAAUGAAUAUUUCUCUUUGACUAGAUAUUCAAACAGCUCCAUAUCUAUCAAUCCCUCUUAUUCUGCACACAACUCUGCCUUCAUUACUCCUUUAGCCUCCACCCAGCAGAUUCCUUUGUUCUUUUCCCUCAAAAGAACAUGCAGUGCAUAUUGUGAACCUUAACUAAAUGAACACAGUGGCAUUUGCAAAGUGGUUUUAAGGCCGGGGUGAAAGGUGGUGUUUCAGCCCAACAGAAUGGAAUGCAAGAAACUCAGCAGUCAUACUUGAACACUGCUACUUGGCAGAUGUUCUCUGUGAACUUAUCUUAAAAAAAUUUAAGGUCUUUUGCCUGCUAUCGCUGCUGCAUAAGCAAAUGACCAGUAGUAACAGCUGCAAUAUCAAUAGCUUACAAAAGAGAGAGCGGUUCACCACAGAGCCCGGCCUGAUCACAGCUGCGACACCCGACCACUCCCUCUGAAACUGGCAUUAGCCAAGCCCUCCCUCUGGCUCAGAACUGGAACCACCCCACUGCUCCUUCUGCUAUGCUUAUUCCAAGGGAAGGUACCUGGUACCUUUUAAUAGUCCUACAAGUCCAGUGGGGAAUGGAGACUGACAGUGGACUACCAUGGCCUGAAGGAAGUCAUACCAUCACUGAGUGCUGCUGUGCCAGACAUGCGGGAACUUCAGUAUGAACUGGAGUCCAAGGCAGCAAAGUGUCAAUGUUAAUGCGUUUUUCUCCAUUCCUUUAGCAGCAGAAUGCAGGCCACAGUUCAUGUUCAUCUAGAGGGGCAUCAAGUACACCUGGAACCAACUGCCCCAGAGCUGGAAUUAGAGCGCCAGUAUUUGCCAGACAAGGAUCUGGACUGCACUGGGAUAUGGAGAGGCUCCAUAACACGUCAUCAUGUGGGGCAACAGAGCAGAGGAAAUUUUUUAGAAAGGGGAAAAGAUAUUCCAAAUCCUCCUGUUUGGCCAGUUUUGCCAUACAGAAAAGUAAGGUCAAGGGAAAUUUAAUUUUUAGGAGCAAAAUGGCAAGACGGACAUCAUCAGAUUCCAAUGGAUGUGGUCAAAAAAUAGCAGCUAUGUCCCCACCAAUUAGCAAGAAGAAAACACAGGGUUUUUUAAGGUACAGUGGGUUUGCACAGGGAUGCAUAUUCUAGAUUACAGUCAAACUGUAAACUGUCUCUAUCAAAUGACAUGGAAGAAGAAUGAUUUCAAGUGGGAUCCUGGACAAUAAGUUUUUGAAAAAAUUAAACAAGAGAUUGCUCAUUCAAUAGCCCUUGGGCUAGUAAAGCAAGGAUAAGACAUGAAAAAUAUAUUCUACACUACAUCCAGUGGAUAAUGAUCCUUCCUGGAGUCUCUGGCAAAAAGUUCAUGGGGAGACUUGAGAACAACCCCUGGUCUCAUCUGAAUUGAGAUUUCAAGGAUGGUACAGCUGACUUACAGUACUCAAACUCCACCCAACCCUCAGCUGAAUAAUGUGGUUUAGGAAUUGUAUUCCCCAGUUCAGUGCCCCCACUAAGACUCUCCAAACCACACAGCACUCUCUUUUGCUUCCCCACUUUCCCCUUUGCUGCUGUGGUGUGAUGGACAGGGAGGCAGAAAGGGCAAAGAUCAAGGGGCAAGAUAAAAACAAUUUAUUGGAAACAGCAAAGAAUAAGAAAACAAACAGUAACAAUACAAAUGACAGAGGGUACAAGAAAAUAAAUUCAUGACAAAAAAAUCCAAAUAACAGACAGUACCAGACAGUUUCCUCCACCAUGUUUACUCAACUGGAAGAGAGGUCCUUUUACCCACCCCUGGAAAAGAUGUGAAGAGAUAGAGAAUAAUCUCUCUGUCCUAGGGAUGCCCCAUCCCACCUACUGCAUAAAAUUAACCUUGUCCUGGCCAGACCCAGGACACUGGGAGAUACAGCCACUUCUGAAAUUAUUCAUCAAUUCACAAAUGCAAGAAGAAAAUAAACCAAUAUUAUUGUUUUUCCCAAAGGUGCAUUAUCACCUUAUUUUAUUUAAUUUUAAAUAAAAAUUAUACCCACAUUUCUCAGGAUUAUAUUCUUUCAUUUAAAAAUCAUGUGUGGAAAAAAAAGGCCACCUGCAGAAGACGCUGAGAGUCUGUAACAGUUUUGCAGUUAAUGCUUUUAUCCAGACAUGACUGAACUUCAUGCCCUCCCCAAGCUCUUCCCAUCUGCUCAGUGAAACAUAGGCUAAGAAAACAUGUCACCGCUGUAAAUUGAUCUUGAACUUUCCUGCUUCACAUUUAUGUCUUCCAAAAAAUCCUUAAAGCUGUAACUAGAGCAGUGAUACACUCAGGUACAAGAUGCAUGUGGUGAUGUGCUAAUCUUGAAUAUCUCUGGACCUUUCUUCCCAUGCAAGCAGCUGGUAGCAGAUAUCUGCACUGCAAACUUAAUGCAUGAGAUGAUUCUCUCACCUUGCCCCCCAAACUGGAUCAGUUCUCUCUGAUGGAUGAAGCCCAGUGUGUGCACAUUCAAGGAUGCCUGCAGAGUUACCCUCCCUCAGAAAGCCAAGGAUACUCUGAGGAGCUUGGGUCGUGGGAACUUAUUCAGAUAUUCCCACAGAAGGAAGUAAACAUAUGACUAAUAACAAAUGGCCAUGUUAAUAGCAUGGUUCUGGCCAGCAUGUCUGUGAGAAAUACAGUACCAAAAGUUAAGUUGCCUUGAACUGUGCCAGGAAACAAGAAUUCAGAGUGAAAAGUCAUAUUUUCAAAUUCAGACACUGCCAGGUUAUUUCUGACACUUCCAUCUUCAGUCGGCUUCUUCAAAGACAUCCAGAGGCCACAUGUGGCUCAAAAGAAGCCUCCUCUCCCCAAAAAGGGCUGACAAUCUCACCCAUUUUUCCUGAUAUUUAAAUUUCCAUCUUGCUUAAAUUGGAAACAGACUUGAACACCAAGUGUGGUGUGGGCAGGGCUAGCUGGAGUCUGAAGAGCAGCAUCAGCAUCCUGCAACAAGCUGCAUGAUUCUGCACUGGGUCUGGUUUGGAUGGAGCUAACUUUUAUCAUAGCAGCCUGUAUGGUGCUGUGUUUUAGGUUUGUAACUAGCACAGUGGUGAUAAUACAUCAGUGUUUUGGCUGCUGCUGAGCAAUGUAUGCACAGCAUCAAGGCCUUCUCUUUAACUCAUUCUGCCCUCUGCAGAGGGUAGGCUGGAUCCGGGCAAGAAUCUGGGAGGAAGCACAGCCACUAGAGCUGACCUUAACUGGACAAAGUAGUAAUUUAUUCCAUGUAGUGUCAUGCUUAUCAAUAAAACAGUGCUUGUA